UCCCUCCUCCUACAGCGCAUGCGCAAUCAUCGCUGACUGAUUGCUUGGCGCUGCCUCAGCCAACAAAGUAAAGAAACCGCACCCGGCCACCACAGCUGCCGUUUGUAUUUGUGUAUGUGUCAUUAUGGUGAUGGGGAGCACGAUAGAGGGAAGUGACGUAACGCAGCGUCACUUCCGGUACGCUGGAGAGGGCGGGCGGGGUCCCGCCGAACGCAAGCCACAUUCACAGGGUGUUGCACACUUUAUAAGAUCCUACCAAAUUUCAAGAAAAUCUAAGACGGUCGGGAUGAAAAGUUGUUUUUUUUGUGAUGGUGUGGCACGGAAUGACCCUGAAGUCUAAAGGUAGAGAGAUUGGUCUUUGCUGAAAGCAGGUUGUGGAUAUUUACAGUACCUGCAUAAAGAUUUUUGAAAAUGAUUUUCUAAAUAAAAUUUACAAAAGUUGUGUCUGUUUUGCCAUAUACGUAUACAGUGGUAAUUAAAUUAAAAAACGGGGUCGUUCAAUGUCAUAUUCUGAUUCUAUAACCACUGUCCAAUCCCCAAAUUCACCCGUAACGAAGUUACUUUUCUGACGCAUAGCCUACAAAUAUUUUUAAUUUGGGAAGGUUAUGUUUUAUUUAUAGUUUUUCAAUGCAAAUACAGUUAUUACACCUGCUGCUACAGUAUACUGUACAUAAAAAGAGCUGUACUGAAUAUUUUUUCCACAUUUGAGCAGCUUGCUAUUUUCAUCCUUUUACUUUGUACGAAAAUAAAAUGAUUCUAUCUGUAUGUGUAAAA